rnacentral:lncRNA from 1 species
UUUGGGUUUGCGCCUAACUUAAUUCCGAUACGCGCGUCAAAAUGUUGUGUAGGCUGGGGCCUGGGGAGGCGUUCAGGAGGGCCAACCAGGAAGAUGACAUCCAGCCCACAUUUGUCUCUGUGGCUGACGCUCUGAGGUUUGGCGCUCUGGAGAAACGUUGAAAGAAAACUAAAGAUGGGCAGUGGUCGGGCAGGAUAACUCAUCCUCCUAAAGCGUUUGUGAGCAAAACAAAUGUUGAUUGGGUUUUUUGGAGCGGAAUUACUCUGUUCUUUAAGGUCGGCGCAGACACGUACCAGCAGAGAACCUGUAGACAGGACAGAGGUUUCCAGCUCUAGUUUCGGGAACGGAUUUUUCCGCGGGCUAGUGGGCGCGGCGCGGCGCAGGGCGGAGCGGGCACCGCCUCCUUCCGUAGCGGAGCGAGAGCUGCCGCUCGAGGCUGAGGCCGCUCCGGAGGCCUGGAGGCUUCGGACUGCUGGACUAGUGGGGAAGGAAGGCGGUUUCCUCCGCAGCGCCCCGGUGCUGCACUCCGCACCGUCACCUUCUGGGUUGUUUCUGGCGCUCCCUCUGCUCUCAGCCUCGAGUCCUGG